AUCCUGUGGCUUCUCUUUGAUCCUGUAAAUCUUUCACCUUUUACUAGAGAUUUCCUUGGAGAGGAACAAUUCUGAGUUUUUACCUAAUUUUUUGAGGCCUUGCACUCAUAGGGCU